rnacentral:rRNA from 1 species
CCUGCCCUUGAUGGGGAAUAACCUCGCGAAAGCGAGGCUAAUUCCGCAUAACAUUCCGAUGAUUUAGGUUGUUGGAUUCAAAGCCGUAAGGCGUCGGAGGAGGAGCCCGCGCACGAUUAGCUAGUUGGUGAGGUAACGGCUCACCAAGGCUAUGAUCGUUAGCUGGUCUGAGAGGAUGGCCAGCCACACUGGAACUGAGACACGGUCCAG